GAUGAACGCUGGCGGCGUGCCUAAUACAUGCAAGUCGAGCGAAGCGGGGACGGGUGAGUAACACGUGGAUAACCUCCUAUAAGACUGGGAUAACUUCGGGAAACCGGAGCUAAACCGGAUACUUAUCGAUGGAUCCGCGCUGCAUUAGCUAGUUGGUAAGGUAACGGCUUACCAAGGCAACGAUGCAUAGCCGAGCUGAGAGGGUGAGUGGCCACACUGGAGCUGAGACACGGUCCAGACUCCUACGGGAGGGAGCAGUAGGGAAUUAUCCGCAAUGGGCGAAAGCCUGACGGAGCACAGCCGCGUGAGUGAUGAAGGGCUUCGGAGCUUAAAACUCUGUUAUUAGGGAAGCGGUACCUAAUCAGAAAGCCACGGCUAACUACGUGCCAGCCGCCGCGGUAAUAC
rnacentral:rRNA from 1 species